CAUUAUGACCUCGAUAAAAUAAUUGGGAAAAACCCCUACAAAUUACAAAAAAUAAAUACAUUUUUAAAACAAGCUCAACUUGCCCAAGAUGAACCAUUCCCUCUCCCUAUUAAAUCUCCCUUCUCCUCACUUCCUAAUUCUGAAAACUAAAAACCUUUCAGUGCAGUUCCUUCUGGGCUUGCCACACAACUAAAAAAGCACGGUAUAAAUAACUUAGUGUUUCCAAGGAGUGGGCGUCUAAGGGAGUGUGUCUGCGUCCAACGCGGUAUCCAAAGCCUAUAAAGGUUUGAGUUUGAUUACACUCUAACGAAGAGGUGUCAAUUUUGUAAUAAGUCGUCAUUAAGGUUCUCGCUCUGAUCUAUCCAGGGAUGCGAAAAGAGACAGAGGCAGCCGUCAGCGAGGCCCCGAGGCGCGGGCGCGGUCUGCUAGGAAAGGGGUGGUAACGGGGGGCGGGGAGGUCCCCAGGAACCGAGGGAAGGGCUGUACCCGGGGACGUGCACCACCCGGGGACGUGCACCGCCCGAGGAGCUGCUGGGCGCCGCGGGCUGCGCCUCCCUCUCGGCUGACCGGGUCGGGAAGCCACGCAGGACCCGACCCGAACACCUGCGGCACCUUCCGUGAAGAACUGGAACCUCCGCGGCCACCUGCGCGCACCCACCCGGAUCUACUAGGGCCGAAACCACUUCCGGUCCAGCGACGGGCGAAGAGGACCUACCUCCAGCUGCGGCGUGUACAAUGAGCGACGCCAUCUUGUACGGAAGCUGCUGUUACAGCUGUGGCCCCCCAGUUUCUCCACUGCUGAACAAAGGAUCUGCUAAAAUUGGAAAGGCUUAACCUCUCUUCAGAAAAGUGAUGUUUUUGGUUUUGUUUCUGGGGUGGUAUUUUUGUUUCUUUUGGUUUGGGCUUUAAAGGGAGAAACCUCUGGAACCCUCACAUGUGCAAUAUGGGACAUCUAUUACUAAUUAGCGCGAGCAGUUUCUCUAUUAAUUUUCUUAACUGUUAAGUGGUGAAGGUAAAGAGGAGAGACAUUUGUUUAAAUAAUAUAUUCCUCAUCAGCAGUGCAUUUCAUACUAUAGCCAUUAUAAUAAUUUAUGCCAUCUUUUAUAACAACCACCACAAUAUUUUCCAGUUAUAUUUAAAAUCGUUCAACCAGUCUUUAUCAGCAACUAUUAUAUGCGAGGCAGCUAAUGUCUGCUCUGUGCUGUUGUUUUGUCAUAGACUGUGUAAAACAGAAAGAGAAAUGAGAUGUGCGUAAGCAAUAUAAGGUGUAAUAAUAGCUGCCACUUGUUAACUAUGUGCUUGCUCACAGUGUGCUAGGAACUUUGCAAAGUGUUUUACAUAUUUUAUCUCAUUUAAUCCUCAUAACAACCUCGUGAGGCAGUACUGUUAUUUAUGCCAUUUUGCAUAAAAUGGAGAAAGGUUAAAUAAAUUUCUUAAGGUAACCCAGCAAGUUAACAUUGUAUCUGGGAAUUAAACCUCAGAGUGUCUGAUUGUA